ensembl:rRNA 5S_rRNA 5S ribosomal RNA
GCCCACUAUGUAGUGCCGUCUGGAAAUUUGUUAUGCAUAAUCUUUUAAAAUAUAAAUUCACUCGGAAGCUAAGCAGGGUCGGGCCUGCUUAGUACUUGGGUGGGAGACUACCUAGGAAGACCAGGUGCUGUAGGUA